GACGAACGCUGGCGGCGUGCCUAAUACAUGCAAGUCGAGCGAAGUUUUUCUGGUGCUUGCACUAGAAAAACUUAGCGGCGAACGGGUGAGUAACACGUAAAGAACCUGCCUCAUAGACGGGGACAACUAUUGGAAACGAUAGCUAAUACCGGAUAACAACAUAAAUCGCAUGAUAUAUGUUUAAAAGUUGGUUUCGGCUAACACUAUGAGAUGGCUUUGCGGUGCAUUAGCUAGUUGGUGGGGUAAAGGCCUACCAAGGCGACGAUGCAUAGCCGACCUGAGAGGGUGAUCGGCCACACUGGGACUGAGACACGGCCCAGACUCCUACGGGAGGCAGCAGUAGGGAAUCUUCCGCAAUGGGCGAAAGCCUGACGGAGCAACGCCGCGUGAGUGAAGAAGGAUUUCGGUUCGUAAAGCUCUGUUGUUAGGGAAGAAUGAUUGUGUAGUAACUAUACACAGUAGAGACGGUACCUAACCAGAAAGCCACGGCUAACUACGUGCCAGCAGCCGCGGUAAUACGUAGGUGGCAAGCGUUGUCCGGAAUUAUUGGGCGUAAAGCGCGCGCAGGUGGUUUAAUAAGUCUGAUGUGAAAGCCCACGGCUCAACCGUGGAGGGUCAUUGGAAACUGUUAAACUUGAGUGCAGGAGAGAAAAGUGGAAUUCCUAGUGUAGCGGUGAAAUGCUUAAGAUUAGGAGGAACCCCCUUGGCGAAAGCGGCUUUUUGGCCUGGACUGACAUGGCGUGCGAAGCGUGUGUAUCCACAUGACAAAUACUCUGGUUGUUCUAUGUCCAAUUUUUACUUGGACUCUAGGCUUAGCGCACCUCGACCGCGGGGUGUGUGUCGUUCUUUAAAAUUUUUCCUUAGUGAG
rnacentral:rRNA from 1 species